GACGAACGCUGGCGGCGUGCUUAACACAUGCAAGUCGAACGGAAAGGCCCUGCUUUUGUGGGGUGCUCGAGUGGCGAACGGGUGAGUAACACGUGAGUAACCUGCCCUUGACUUUGGGAUAACUUCAGGAAACUGGGGCUAAUACCGGAUAGGAGCUCCUGCUGCAUGGUGGGGGUUGGAAAGUUUCGGCGGUUGGGGAUGGACUCGCGGCUUAUCAGCUUGUUGGUGGGGUAGUGGCUUACCAAGGCUUUGACGGGUAGCCGGCCUGAGAGGGUGACCGGCCACAUUGGGACUGAGAUACGGCCCAGACUCCUACGGGAGGCAGCAGUGGGGAAUAUUGCACAAUGGGCGGAAGCCUGAUGCAGCAACGCCGCGUGCGGGAUGACGGCCUUCGGGUUGUAAACCGCUUUCGCCUGUGACGAAGCGUGAGUGACGGUAAUGGGUAAAGAAGCACCGGCUAACUACGUGCCAGCAGCCGCGGUGAUACGUAGGGUGCGAGCGUUGUCCGGAUUUAUUGGGCGUAAAGGGCUCGUAGGUGGUUGAUCGCGUCGGAAGUGUAAUCUUGGGGCUUAACCCUGAGCGUGCUUUCGAUACGGGUUGACUUGAGGAAGGUAGGGGAGAAUGGAAUUCCUGGUGGAGCGGUGGAAUGCGCAGAUAUCAGGAGGAACACCAGUGGCGAAGGCGGUUCUCUGGGCCUUUCCUGACGCUGAGGAGCGAAAGCGUGGGGAGCGAACAGGCUUAGAUACCCUGGUAGUCCACGCUGUAAACGGUGGGUACUAGGUGUGGGGUCCAUUCCACGGGUUCCGUGCCGUAGCUAACGCUUUAAGUACCCCGCCUGGGGAGUACGGCCGCAAGGCUAAAACUCAAAGGAAUUGACGGGGCCCCGCACAAGCGGCGGAGCAUGCGGAUUAAUUCGAUGCAACGCGUAGAACCUUACCUGGGUUUGACAUGGAUCGGGAGUGCUCAGAGAUGGGUGUGCCUCUUUUGGGGUCGGUUCACAGGUGGUGCAUGGCUGUCGUCAGCUCGUGUCGUGAGAUGUUGGGUUAAGUCCCGCGACGAGCGCAACCCUUGUUCACUGUUGCCAGCACGUUAUGGUGGGGACUCAGUGGAGACCGCCGGGGUCAACUCGGAGGAAGGUGGGGAUGACGUCAAGUCAUCAUGCCCCUCAUGUCCAGGGCUUCACGCAUGCUACAAUGGCUGGUACAGAGAGUGGCGAGCCUGUGAGGGUGAGCGAAUCUCGGAAAGCCGGUCUCAGUUCGGAUUGGGGUCUGCAACUCGACCUCAUGAAGUCGGAGUCGCUAGUAAUCGCAGAUCAGCAACGCUGCGGUGAAUACGUUCCCGGG
rnacentral:rRNA from 1 species